CUCAGAAUCAACGCUGGCGGCGCGCUUAACACAUGCAAGUCGAACGAGAAAGCGGGAGCAAUCUCGCAAGUACAGUGGCGUACGGGUGAGUAACACGUGGGUAAUCUACCUCAUAGUGGGGAAUAACGCUGGGAAACCGGCGCUAAUACCGCAUAAGCUCGAAAGAGGAAAGCAGCAAUGCGCUGUGAGAGGAGCCCGCGGCCGAUUAGCCAGUUGGCAGGGUAAAAGCCUACCAAAGCUAAGAUCGGUAGCCGGCCUGAGAGGGCACACGGCCACACUGGCACUGAAACACGGGCCAGACUCCUACGGGAGGCAGCAGUGGGGAAUCUUGCACAAUGGGGGAAACCCUGAUGCAGCGACGCCGCGUGAGCGAUGAAGCCCUUCGGGGUGUAAAGCUCUUUCGGCAGGGACGAUAAUGACGGUACCUGCAGAAGCAGCUGCGGCUAACUACGUGCCAGCAGCCGCGGUAAUACGUAGGCAGCGAGCGUUGUUCGGAGUUACUGGGCGUAAAGGGUGUGUAGGCGGUUUUCUAAGUUUGGUGUGAAAUCUCCCGGCUCAACCGGGAGGGUGCGCCGAAAACUGGAAGGCUAGAGUGCGGGAUGGGAGAGUAGAAUUCCUGGUGUAGCGGUGAAAUGCGUAGAUAUCAGGAGGAAUACCGGUGGUGUAGACGGCUCUCUGGACCGCGACUGACGCUGAGACACGAAAGCGUGGGUAGCAAACAGGAUUAGAUACCCUGGUAGUCCACGCCCUAAACGAUGCAUAUUUGGUGUAGGUCAUUCAGUUGAUCUGUGCCGGAGCUAACGCGUUAAAUAUGCCGCCUGGGGAGUACAGUCGCAAGGCUGAAACUCAAAU
rnacentral:rRNA from 1 species